UAAGAAAUGGAAAUAAUGAAUAUCAACGGCAAAGAGUAAUACAUAGAUAUGCUACAGUAAACAAUGCACUGGAAACACAAUCAAACCAAAACUUGCUCCCGCAAUAUCACACCAGCAAUUCAGUAGAAGAUCCUUUAUCACAGUGUUACAAAAUAAGUGGUAUACUAUAAAGAAAUGUCAUCAAUGUAUCAAUUACUCUAUCGAAGAGUAAUCCUCUGAAAUUUCAGAAUACAGCAAAGGCAACAUGGGGGACAGAACCACAUGCCUUGUCUUCCACAUAGAAUGUCUCACAUUGAGCAUUCAUGGAACAUCCCUGGUUUCAUUUUACGUCCACACAUCCUAUUCAAGGUGCUUUGCUCUAAAGACAAAUGAUUCUCUAGGAAGCCUAAACCAACAGCUCAUCGAUACCCAAAGACUAGGCACUCUUAAUUCUAUAAAGCACCGUGAGUAAAACCACUCAUUGUGCUUGCCUCAUCACAGUUAUGGCGGUGAGCUUUAUUGAGUACAAAUAUCUUGGGUGGGUAAGGCUGCAUAUGCAGUUGCCCCUGCUACCCAAAUAGACAAGCAUUGAGCACCAAGGGAGUCAGUGCUCUGAUAUAGUUUGAUAUUACGCAUUAUUUCAUGGUUUUUAAAGUUCAAUGGGGAAUGUAACUUUUUCUUUUUUAUUGAGCCGCUGCUACCCAAAUAAAGAAGCAUUGGGCACCAACGAUGUAGCAAGGACGCGCGGAAAAGUAGUCAAGACUCGAAGACUGUGGAAAACAAGACAUGAAUUCUCUACAAUUACAUUGUGGAACAAUUGAAGGGAUGUGGGAUGUGGCGCAGCUUGGUAGCGCGUUUGUUUUGGGUACAAAAUGUCACAGGUUCAAAUCCUGUCAUCCCUACCUAUUACUGUUCCUUUGAGCAGUAACGAGGGAUCAAUUGAGAUCGCUUCAAAUUGGACAUAAUCUUUGAUUUUUAUCAUGCUAUUCUAGUAUAUGCAUACAAAAUGUAUUGGGGUUAUGAAAAGAAUCCUUUUGUUUA